ensembl:lncRNA
CGCAGAUGUGCCUAGACAAGUGUUCUCGCUCCACCCACAUUUAUCGAUACUGCAUCGGACCAGACUUGUGCGGACUUGGGGCGGCCAAAUAACCCAUAAUGCAUUUCGCGCCGACCAGCGUUCAAAGGCCCAGGAGGAAACUUUCAGAGAGACAUCUGAAGAAACCCGGAUCCUCACUGACUGCUGGGAGACUCCACAGAGCUCCAUCUUCAGCAUCUGGACCAGCAGGAUGCUGUUCAUGGAAACUGAAGGAUUGAAAAUGCUGAAUUGUAUUUAAGCAGUUUGCAUUAAAUAUUUUUCAAUUGUGUUCAAAAAAUGAAUUGAAUUGUUGAAGCCAGAAGUAAAUGUUCCUCUAACAUCAGACCUGUUUGAUCAGAUGCUGCUGAUGUUUGAAAAGGUUUCUGGUUUAUUACCUGACAGGCAGAAGAAGAGCUCACCUGUAGGAGCUCACCUGUAUUGAGGCUCUGAGUACAAUAGUUAACAUGAAAUAUUCUCUCAUCAAUGAGUGAUGAUGUUCAGCAUGCAGAAGUCCUGGUGAUCACAUUAAAGUGUAGUGAUGUUUGUGUAUCUGUCAGACUAUAAAUCUCUGGAUGUUGGAGGACAAACAUCAGGAGCUGUUGGGCCAGGUGGCUGGUGGCUGACUGAUUCCCCCGGCGGUGGUAGUCCCUUCACUCCCUGUAUAGUAGUGCACUUGGGUGUCCGUCAAUGGUUUUGUUUUGUUCGCGUGUCAUCAGGACCCUUCCCUUCCCCCCUUCAGUUAGUCAUCCCUGCCUGGAGCUGUUGGGCCAGGUGGCUGGUGGCUGACUGAUUCCCCCGGCGGUGGUGGUCCCUUCACUCCCUGUACAGUAGUGCACUUGGGUGUCCGUCAAUGGUUUUGUUUUAUUCACAUGUGGUGUGGUGCAUCAGGACCCUUCCCUUCCCCCCUUCAGUUAGUCAUCUCUGCCUGGUAAGCCCUCAGCCCUGUGCCUAGUGACUGUCUUUCGGUGGCAAACUUAACUAAUCCAGGGGGGCCCCUGGAGGAUUAGAUUAAUAUUGUGCCACUUACUACCGAGUUAUUUCUUGGCAUCACCACCAAGGGUUUUUUAGUGAGGAAAGAGUGUAAAUUUUUAAAUACUGUUAAUAAAUUUCAUUUUUCUAUACUUUAUUUGGAAUCGCGUCAGUCUCUGGUGUCUGUCGUACCUGUGUGACCUUUCCUUUGUCUGUAUUGGAGCAGUGGUCCUCUCUCCAUAGAUCUCCUGGGGGUGAAAUUCCCCCAGGUGGCGUUGUCGGACAUGUGAUAAAUAACAAAAGUACAUUCAAUCCCUCGUACCCUUGCCACAUGUGCAGUAACUCAAUCUUUCCUCGUUUUAGUUCACCGACGGCUAGUUUAGAUGUUUGAGGACAGUUUCACGAUGCACGGAAUCUCCGCACACCGCAUUGCAUUUGCAUAAAGUAGAAGUCCAGUCUACUUUAUGCAAAUGAGCUGCAGGCCCGCUCCGGGUAAACACACUGGACCACAGCUGGAAACGAACCGCAACCGGACCAGCAUGCAACUGCGAUGUGUUUCCAGCUGCGAGCCGGUGUGUAAGUUGUUUAUGUUGUGUCAACUGCUGCACAAUAAAAUGUGAAUUGAAA